GGGUUGUGAGGUUAAGCGACUAAGCGUACACGGUGGAUGCCCUGGCAGUCAGAGGCGAUGAAGGACGUGCUAAUCUGCGAUAAGCGUCGGUAAGGUGAUAUGAACCGUUAUAACCGGCGAUUUCCGAAUGGGGAAACCCAGUGUGUUUCGACACACUAUCAUUAACUGAAUCCAUAGGUUAAUGAGGCGAACCGGGGGAACUGAAACAUCUAAGUACCCCGAGGAAAAGAAAUCAACCGAGAUUCCCCCAGUAGCGGCGAGCGAACGGGGAGCAGCCCAGAGCCUGAAUCAGUGUGUGUGUUAGUGGAAGCGUCUGGAAAGGCGUGCGAUACAGGGUGACAGCCCCGUACACAAAAAUGCACAUGCUGUGAGCUCGAUGAGUAGGGCGGGACACGUGGUAUCCUGUCUGAAUAUGGGGGGACCAUCCUCCAAGGCUAAAUACUCCUGACUGACCGAUAGUGAACCAGUACCGUGAGGGAAAGGCGAAAAGAACCCCGGCGAGGGGAGUGAAAAAGAACCUGAAACCGUGUACGUACAAGCAGUGGGAGCACGCUUAGGCGUGUGACUGCGUACCUUUUGUAUAAUGGGUCAGCGACUUAUAUUCUGUAGCAAGGUUAACCGAAUAGGGGAGCCGAAGGGAAACCGAGUCUUAACUGGGCGUUAAGUUGCAGGGUAUAGACCCGAAACCCGGUGAUCUAGCCAUGGGCAGGUUGAAGGUUGGGUAACACUAACUGGAGGACCGAACCGACUAAUGUUGAAAAAUUAGCGGAUGACUUGUGGCUGGGGGUGAAAGGCCAAUCAAACCGGGAGAUAGCUGGUUCUCCCCGAAAGCUAUUUAGGUAGCGCCUCGUGAAUUCAUCUCCGGGGGUAGAGCACUGUUUCGGCAAGGGGGUCAUCCCGACUUACCAACCCGAUGCAAACUGCGAAUACCGGAGAAUGUUAUCACGGGAGACACACGGCGGGUGCUAACGUCCGUCGUGAAGAGGGAAACAACCCAGACCGCCAGCUAAGGUCCCAAAGUCAUGGUUAAGUGGGAAACGAUGUGGGAAGGCCCAGACAGCCAGGAUGUUGGCUUAGAAGCAGCCAUCAUUUAAAGAAAGCGUAAUAGCUCACUGGUCGAGUCGGCCUGCGCGGAAGAUGUAACGGGGCUAAACCAUGCACCGAAGCUGCGGCAGCGACACUAUGUGUUGUUGGGUAGGGGAGCGUUCUGUAAGCCUGUGAAGGUGUGCUGUGAGGUAUGCUGGAGGUAUCAGAAGUGCGAAUGCUGACAUAAGUAACGAUAAAGCGGGUGAAAAGCCCGCUCGCCGGAAGACCAAGGGUUCCUGUCCAACGUUAAUCGGGGCAGGGUGAGUCGACCCCUAAGGCGAGGCCGAAAGGCGUAGUCGAUGGGAAACAGGUUAAUAUUCCUGUACUUGGUGUUACUGCGAAGGGGGGACGGAGAAGGCUAUGUUGGCCGGGCGACGGUUGUCCCGGUUUAAGCGUGUAGGCUGGUUUUCCAGGCAAAUCCGGAAAAUCAAGGCUGAGGCGUGAUGACGAGGCACUACGGUGCUGAAGCAACAAAUGCCCUGCUUCCAGGAAAAGCCUCUAAGCAUCAGGUAACAUCAAAUCGUACCCCAAACCGACACAGGUGGUCAGGUAGAGAAUACCAAGGCGCUUGAGAGAACUCGGGUGAAGGAACUAGGCAAAAUGGUGCCGUAACUUCGGGAGAAGGCACGCUGAUAUGUAGGUGAAGUCCCUCGCGGAUGGAGCUGAAAUCAGUCGAAGAUACCAGCUGGCUGCAACUGUUUAUUAAAAACACAGCACUGUGCAAACACGAAAGUGGACGUAUACGGUGUGACGCCUGCCCGGUGCCGGAAGGUUAAUUGAUGGGGUUAGCCGCAAGGCGAAGCUCUUGAUCGAAGCCCCGGUAAACGGCGGCCGUAACUAUAACGGUCCUAAGGUAGCGAAAUUCCUUGUCGGGUAAGUUCCGACCUGCACGAAUGGCGUAAUGAUGGCCAGGCUGUCUCCACCCGAGACUCAGUGAAAUUGAACUCGCUGUGAAGAUGCAGUGUACCCGCGGCAAGACGGAAAGACCCCGUGAACCUUUACUAUAGCUUGACACUGAACAUUGAGCCUUGAUGUGUAGGAUAGGUGGGAGGCUUAGAAGUGUGGACGCCAGUCUGCAUGGAGCCGACCUUGAAAUACCACCCUUUAAUGUUUGAUGUUCUAACGUUGACCCGUAAUCCGGGUUGCGGACAGUGUCUGGUGGGUAGUUUGACUGGGGCGGUCUCCUCCUAAAGAGUAACGGAGGAGCACGAAGGUUGGCUAAUCCUGGUCGGACAUCAGGAGGUUAGUGCAAUGGCAUAAGCCAGCUUGACUGCGAGCGUGACGGCGCGAGCAGGUGCGAAAGCAGGUCAUAGUGAUCCGGUGGUUCUGAAUGGAAGGGCCAUCGCUCAACGGAUAAAAGGUACUCCGGGGAUAACAGGCUGAUACCGCCCAAGAGUUCAUAUCGACGGCGGUGUUUGGCACCUCGAUGUCGGCUCAUCACAUCCUGGGGCUGAAGUAGGUCCCAAGGGUAUGGCUGUUCGCCAUUUAAAGUGGUACGCGAGCUGGGUUUAGAACGUCGUGAGACAGUUCGGUCCCUAUCUGCCGUGGGCGCUGGAGAACUGAGGGGGGCUGCUCCUAGUACGAGAGGACCGGAGUGGACGCAUCACUGGUGUUCGGGUUGUCAUGCCAAUGGCACUGCCCGGUAGCUAAAUGCGGAAGAGAUAAGUGCUGAAAGCAUCUAAGCACGAAACUUGCCCCGAGAUGAGUUCUCCCUGACUCCUUGAGAGUCCUGAAGGAACGUUGAAGACGACGACGUUGAUAGGCCGGGUGUGUAAGCGCAGCGAUGCGUUGAGCUAACCGGUACUAAUGAACCGUGAGGCUUAACCUUACAACGCCGAAGGUGUUU
rnacentral:rRNA from 1 species